UGAGUGCUUGAUUAUUUGGUCAUGGUCAAUGGCUUGUGUACUUUAAUUUCUUUACUCCUAUUAGGUAUCUGAAAUUAAUUUGUCCUUUAGUACGUAAUACCAUCUUUAAAAAAAUACAUUACUAACUUAUACUGAUAUAUAUAUUGAUCAUCUUCAGGGGCGGACCCACGUUGACUUUAGGGGGUUCAGUUGAACCCCCUGAAAAAAAAAAAUUUCCUACUUACCCCCUAGAGUGAUUUUUUCUGAACCCCCUGAAAUUUGAAAAUUGCACCCAGGUCCCAGUCAAGGAGUCAAUACUCAGUUACUCAUUCCUCACUCCUCUCUCUCUCUCUCUCUUCCUCACGCACUCACUCCUCUCUCUCUCUUCCUCACGCACUCACUCUCUCAUCUCACGGUCUCAACUCUCCUUCACUCACGAAUCACGGCAGCCACAGCCCACCAACGCCACCAGUCCACCACCAUCGCCCACCGGCAGCCGCCCAAAGCACCACCACUCUCUCUCUCUGCUGCUGUUGAAGACUUGAAGCUUGAAGGAUACUGUGCUCAUUGGGUGCGUUUUUUUUGGGCCAUUAUUGCAGUGCCUAUGACAGUUUUGGGGCUUUGACACAAUGAUAAUACAAUGGCUUUUACAAUGAUUCUGAGCUUAUUGUUCAACGAUUUCAGAAUAUGAAAUCGCGUAGAGGACAACUAUGAUUUGUAUAAUUUCUGAUGUAUAAAUAUAUUAUAAUUGUUUUUAA